GGGGGGGGCCUCUCGUGCCAGGUCGGACGGUAGCACAGGAAGACCUGGCUCUUCGGGUGACGAGUGGCGGACGGGUGAGUAAUGUCUGGGAAACUGCCCGAUGGAGGGGGAUAACUACUGGAAACGGUACCUAAUACCGCAAAACGUCUCACGACCAAGGUGGGGGACCUUCGGGCCUCUCACCAUCGGAUGUGCCCAGAUGGGAUUAGCUAGUAGGUGGGGUAACGGCUCACCUAGGCGACGAUCCCUAGCUGGUCUGAGAGGAUGACCAGCCACACUGGAACUGAGACACGGUCCAGACUCCUACGGGAGGCAGCAGUGGGGAAUAUUGCACAAUGGGCGCAAGCCUGAUGCAGCCAUGCCGCGUGUAUGAAGAAGGCCUUCGGGUUGUAAAGUACUUUCAGCGGGGAGGAAGGCGGUAGGUUAAUAACCUUGCCUAUUGACGUUACCCGCAGAACAAGCACCGGCUAACUCCGUGCCAGCAGCCGCGGUAAUACGGAGGGUGCAAGCGUUAAUCGGAAUUACUGGGCGUAAAGCGCACGCAGGCGGUCUGUUAAGUCAGAUGUGAAAUCCCCGGGCUUAACCUGGGAACUGCAUUUGAAACUGGCAGGCUUGAGUCUCGUAGAGGGGGGUAGAAUUCCAGGUGUAGCGGUGAAAUGCGUAGAGAUCUGGAGGAAUACCGGUGGCGAAGGCGGCCCCCUGGACUAAUACUGACGCUCAGGUGCUAAAGCGUGGGGAGCAAACAGGAUUACAUACCUUGG
rnacentral:rRNA from 1 species